rnacentral:rRNA from 1 species
UAGAGUUUGAUCAUGGCUCAGAACGAACGCUGGCGGCAUGCCUAACACAUGCAAGUCGAACGAAGUCUUCGGACUUAGUGGCGCACGGGUGCGUAACGCGUGGGAAUCUACCCUUGGGUACGGAAUAACUCAGAGAAAUUUGUGCUAAUACCGUAUAAUGACUUCGGUCCAAAGAUUUAUCGCCCAAGGAUGAGCCCGCGUAAGAUUAGCUAGUUGGUGGGGUAAAAGCCUACCAAGGCGACGAUCUUUAGCUGGUCUGAGAGGAUGAUCAGCCACACUGGGACUGAGACGCGGCCCAGACUCCUACGGGAGGCAGCAGUGGGGAAUAUUGGACAAUGGGCGAAAGCCUGAUCCAGCAAUGCCGCGUGA